GAGGGCAUGCCAAAAUACACUUUAUUGCUAUAGAUACAUGGUGGAACUUGUCAGUCGUCCGGAAGACACGAAAAAGAUGACUGUGUUUUUUGACCACGCCGCUCGAACAAAGCGUUCACUCAUGGGCGAAACAAUUUGUGACCUUUUGGCGAACGGCAAUAUAUCUGAUAUUGAAGAUUCUGAACACAGAAUUCGAUCCAGAUGUCUGAUUUCAGCACACUGCAGACAAAGCGUCAGAAGAAGAACAGGAUGACAAACAAAUACCACCUUCCUUUGAUGUAAUAGAACUAAAACCAUCGUCACCACCAUGUGAAUUAAGAGUCCCGCCAAAUUUAAGAACGACAGUGAGAGAAUCGCGUUUUACUGUGCGAGAAUCAAGAUGUUUGCCUUCUACAGUAGCAGAUCGAGAUCGCCAGUAAGUAGACGUGGUAGAAGGCCUUCAAGAGGGCGAGGGGCAGCAUCAGUUCUAGAUACAAGAAA
rnacentral:lncRNA from 1 species